rnacentral:rRNA from 1 species
GACGAACGCUGGCGGCGUGCCUAAUACAUGCAAGUAGAGCGCUGAAGGAAGGAGCUUGCUCUUUCUGGAUGAGUUGCGAACGGGUGAGUAACGCGUAGGUAACCUGCCUGGUAGCGGGGGAUAACUAUUGGAAACGAUAGCUAAUACCGCAUAAAAUUGAUUAUUGCAUGAUAGUCAAUUAAAAGGUGCAACUGCACCACUACCAGAUGGACCUGCGUUGUAUUAGCUAGUUGGUGGGGUAACGGCUCACCAAGGCGACGAUACAUAGCCGACCUGAGAGGGGGAUCGGCCACCCUGGGACUGAGACACGGCCCAGACUUCUACGGGAGGCAGCAGUAGGGAAUCGUCGGCAAUGGACGGAAGGCUGACCGAGCAACGCCGCGGGAGGGAAGAGGGUUUUCGGAUCGUAAAGCUCUGUUGUAAGAGAAGAACGAGUGUGAGAGUGGAAAGUUCACACUGUGACGGUAUCUUACCAGAAAGGGACGGCUAACUACGUG